GAUGAACGCUGGCGGCGUGCCUAAUACAUGCAAGUCGAGCGAACAGACGAGGAGCUUGCUCCUCUGACGUUAGCGGCGGACGGGUGAGUAACACGUGGAUAACCUACCUAUAAGACUGGGAUAACUUCGGGAAACCGGAGCUAAUACCGGAUAAUAUAUUGAACCGCAAGGUUCAAUAGUGAAAGACGGUUUUGCUGUCACUUAUAGAUGGAUCCGCGCCGCAUUAGCUAGUUGGUAAGGUAACGGCUUACCAAGGCAACGAUGCGUAGCCGACCUGAGAGGGUGAUCAGCCACACUGGAACUGAGACACGGUCCAGACUCCUACGGGAGGCAGCAGUAGGGAAUCUUCCGCAAUGGGCGAAAGCCUGACGGAGCAACGCCGCGUGAGUGAUGAAGGUCUUCGGAUCGUAAAACUCUGUUAUUAGGGAAGAACAAAUGUGUAAGUAACUAUGCACGUCUUGACGGUACCUAAUCAGAAAGCCACGGCUAACUACGUG
rnacentral:rRNA from 1 species